rnacentral:tRNA from 1 species
GCUGCUGUAGCUCAGCUGGUAGAGCAACUGAUUCGUAAUCAGUAGGUCGAGUGUUCGAGUCACUCCAGCAGCACCA